rnacentral:tRNA from 1 species
GCGUCCUUAGCUCAGCUGGAUAGAGUACCUGGCUACGAACCAGGCGGUAACAGGGGUUCGACUCCUCCAGGACGCGCCA